GGGAGUUCGAAGUUCACACAGAACAGAUAUAAACUUUUAUCCAUUCAUUUAAAGUCCCAUAAAAUUUGGAAGAAUUGUUUAGAGAGCCAAAAAUAAUGAUGCAUUUUGCACUUCUCAACAAAAUUUUCUGACAUUAUCCAGGUUACAACAUAAACUUAACAAUUGAUCAAAUGCCUACUGUGGUUGAGGCUACAAUUGAGAGAUUACUUCAAGAAGACUAUUAUCUAGUCCUAGAGAUCAUCAUCAUCAUCAUCAUCAUCAUCAUUGUCAUAACUGAAAUUACAUGGCAUAUUAAGGUCCAGGAGGCUCCUCACUAUUACCAUCAAUCACCAUAAAAGGCAUCCAUUUGAACUGUCAAGCUUGGAUACACCAGAGAGGUGAUACACAAAGAACGUGAGUAAUGGAGUAAGAAGAGACUUCUCUUUACAUCCUGCCCCCAGCCAUGGACUGAUGUUGGGUUCUGAAUCUUUUUUAUGUUUAUUUAUGUAGAUAGUGUCUCCUCUAGUAUGAUGUAAGCUUAUCAAAGGCAUCUUUUGGUCUUUGUAUCCUAUGCCAAACCUCAUGCCUGGUUCUUACUAGAGGCUUCUGGAGAUGCUUUUCCUCUAAGCAAAUCCCCUAAUAUCUCCCAGUCUCAGUUUACUCAUCUGCAAAAUGGAAAUUAUAAAACCUAUAUUAUUUCCCAGGAUAGUGAGGAUCAAAUGGAAGAAUAUACAUAAAAUGCUAUAUUAAUAAUGGUUAUUGACAUUAUCACCAAAAUCAUAAAUGAAAAUAAUAAUAGAUCCUUGACACAUUGGGUGAGCUAAUUUAUGAGUCUAUUAUGGCCAAAUUAUGAGAAGAUGUGAAGGAGAGUCACACAGUAUAGAAAUGUGUGGAUGGUUUGUGAUAUGUAAUAUUUC
rnacentral:lncRNA from 1 species